rnacentral:rRNA from 1 species
GUACGGGAGGCAGCAGUGGGGAAUAUUGGACAAUGGGCGAAAGCCUGAUCCAGCAAUGCCGCGUGUGCGAUGAAGGCCUGCGGGUUGUAAAGCACUUUCGGUGGGGAAGAAAUGCCUGAAGCUAAUAUCUUCAGGAGUUGACGUUACCCAUAGAAGAAGCACCGGCUAACUCUGUGCCAGCAGCCGCGGUAAUACAGAGGGUGCAAGCGUUAAUCGGAGUUACUGGGCGUAAAGGGCGCGUAGGUGGAUAUUUAAGUCAGUUGUGAAAUCCCCGGGCUUAACCUGGGAAUUGCAAUUGAUACUGAAUAUCUAGAGUAUGGUAGAGGAAAGUGGAAUUCCCAGUGUAGCGGUAAAAUGCGUAGAUAUUGGGAAGAACACCAGUGCGAAGGCGACUUUCUGGACCAAUACUGACACUGAGGCGCGAAAGCGUGGGGAGCAAACAGGAUUAGAAACCCUGGUAGUCCG